AAAUUGAAGAGUUUGAUCAUGGCUCAGAUUGAACGCUGGCGGCAGGCCUAACACAUGCAAGUCGAGCGGCAGCGGGAAAGUAGCUUGCUACUUUUGCCGGCGAGCGGCGGACGGGUGAGUAAUGCCUGGGGAUCUGCCCAGUCGAGGGGGAUAACAGUUGGAAACGACUGCUAAUACCGCAUACGCCCUACGGGGGAAAGGAGGGGACCUUCGGGCCUUUCGCGAUUGGAUGAACCCAGGUGGGAUUAGCUAGUUGGUGGGGUAAUGGCUCACCAAGGCGACGAUCCCUAGCUGGUCUGAGAGGAUGAUCAGCCACACUGGAACUGAGACACGGUCCAGACUCCUACGGGAGGCAGCAGUGGGGAAUAUUGCACAAUGGGGGAAACCCUGAUGCAGCCAUGCCGCGUGUGUGAAGAAGGCCUUCGGGUUGUAAAGCACUUUCAGCGAGGAGGAAAGGUUGGCGCCUAAUA
rnacentral:rRNA from 1 species